rnacentral:rRNA from 1 species
AAGGAGUGUGUAACAACUCACCUGCCGAAUGGACUAGCCCUGAAAAUGGAUGGCGCUCAAGCGUGUUACUUAUACCCCUCCGCUGGGGCAAAAUUUACGCCCCAGCGAGUAGGCAGGCGUGGAGGUCCGUGACGAAGCCUUGGGGGUGACCCCGGGUCGAACGGCCUCUAGUGCAGAUCUUGGUGGUAGUAGCAAAUACUCAAAUGAGAACUUUGAGGACUGAAGUGGGGAAAGGUUCCGUGUGAACAGCAGUUGGACACGGGUCAAUCGAUCCUAAGAGAUAGGGUAAUUCCGUUUUAAUGUUGGCGCUUGCGCCACGCCCUCGAAAGGGAAGCCGGUUAAAAUUCCGGCAUCUGGAUGUGGAUUCUCCGCGGCAACGCAACUGAGAGCGGAGACGUUGGCGGGAGCCCCAAGAAGAAUUCUCUUUUCUU